ensembl:lncRNA
GUUACCCCUUAUGUUUUUAUUCAUGACGACCAAUGAAAAAAACGACAGUGUUACCCCUCAUGUUUUCAUUUGAUAAAAACGACAGUGUUACCCCUUUGGUUUUUUUUCAUGACGACCAAUAAAAUACGACAGUGUUACCCCUAAUAUUUUAUUUGACAAAGACAACCAAUAAAAUACGACAGUGUUUACCCCUUAUGUUUUUUUUCAUGACGACCAAUAAAAAACGACAGUGUUACCCCUCAUGUUUCAUUUGAUAAAAACGACAGUGUUACCCCUUGUGUUUUUUUUCAUGACGACCAAAGAAAAACAAGUGUUACCCCCUAUGUUUUUUUUCAUGACGACCAAUAAAAAACAGUGUUACCCCUUAUGUUUUUUCUAAUGACGACCAAUAAAAAAAAACAAUAGUGUUACCCCUCAUGUUUCAUUUGAUAAAAACGACAGUGUAACCCCUUGUGUUUUUUUUCAUGACGACCAAAGAAAAACAAGUGUUACCCCCUAUGUUUUUAUCCAUGACGACCAAUAAAAAAACAACAGUGUUACCCCUUAUGUUUUAUUUCAUGACGACCAAUAAAAUACGACAGUGUUACCCCUUAUAUUUUAUUUGACAUAGACAACAGUGUUACCCCAUAUGUUUUUUUUCAUGACGACCAAUAAAAAAACGACAGUGUUACCCCCUAUGUUUUUUUUCACGACGACCAAUAAAAAACAACAGUGUUACCCCCUAUGUUUUUUUUCAUGACGACCAAUAUAAUACGACAGUGUUACCCCUUACAUGUUAUUCGACAAAGACAACAGUGUUACCCCUUUUUUUUUUUCCACGACGACCAAUAAAAUACGACAGUGUUACCCCUCAUAUUUUAUAUGACAAAGACAACCAAUAAAAUACGACAGUGUUACCCCUUAUGUUUUUUUUUCAUGACGACCAAUAAAAAACAACAGUGUUACCCCUUAUGUUUUUUUUCAUGACGACCAAUAAAAAACAACAGUGUUACCCCUUAUGGUUUUUUUUCAUGACGACCAAAGAAAAAUGACAGUGUCACCCCUCAUGUUUCAUUUGAUAAAACGAACUGUGUUACCCCCUGUGUUUUUUUUCAUGACGACCAAAGAAAAACAACAGUGUUACCCCCUAUGGUUUUUUUUCAUGACGAUCAAUAGAAUACGACAGUGUUUACCCCUUAUGUUUUUAUCCAUGACGACCAAUAAAAAAACAACAGUGUUACCCCUUAUGUUUUUUUUUCAUGACGACCAAAGAAAAAUGACAGUGUCACCCCUCAUGUUUCAUUUGAUAAAAACAACAGUGUUACCCCUUAUGUUUUUUUCAUGACGACCAAUAAAAAACAACAUUGUUACCCCUUAUGUUUUUUUCAUGACGACCAAUAAAAAAACGACAGUGUCACCCCUCAUGUUUCAUUUGAUAAAAACGACAGUGUUACCCCCUAUGUUUUAACUGAUAAAUAUCGACUGUGUUACCCCUUAUGUUUUUUUCACGACGACCAAUAAAAAACAACAGUGUUACCCCUUAUGUUUUUUUUCAUGACAACCAAUAAAAAACAACAGCGUUACCCCUAUGUUUUAUUUGAUAAUUAUCGACAGUGUUACCCAUUAUAUUUAUCUCAUGACGGCCGAUAAAAAACCACAGUUACCCCUCAUGUUUUUUCCAUGUUGACCAAUAAAAACGACAGUGGUACCCCAGUCGACGGUUUUACGGGGGAUCCGAACAUGAGCUGUUCAGAGUUUUAACCUCCGUACUUAACAAUGCACCAUAAAGACACCGAAUUAAGUCAUCACAAUGGUUAUACUUGACUUAUAAUUUGCAUGAAAUAGAAAUUAGAGUCUUCCAGCAGAGGACAUCAUCCGGACUUGAACCCCGGUCUCCAGGGGGUUAGCUCACAGCUCUCUCCACUUCCCACUGUGAUUUUUUAUCAAUUAGGUCUGUGGUUAUAUAUGACAAUAAACAUGAUAGCAUUACGUUUAAAAUUAAAGAUAUUGUGUUUUCCUCAGAAAUUGAGCCGCGGUCUCCAGGGGUAAGCCAGAGUGCACUCCACUGCACCACUGAGGGGAUGACAAUACACAAUAAUCAAUCAUCAAUAAAGAGGAUAUACAUGACAUUAAAAUGUAUGUGUGCCUUUCUAUUAAUUCCCUUAUGUUUUUUUUCAUGACGACCAAUAAAAAACAACAGUGUUACCCCUUAUAUUUUUUUUCAUGACGACCAAUAAAAUACCAGUGUUACCCCUUAUGUUUUAUUUGACAAAGACAACAUUGUUACUCCUUGUGGUUUUUUUCAUGACGACCAAAGAAAAAAAAACAGUGUUACCCCCUAUGUUUUAUUUGAUAAAUAUCGACAGUGUUACCCGUUAUGUUUUUAUUCAUGACGACCAAUAAAAAACAACAGUGUUAUCCCUUAUGUUUUUUUCAUGACGAUCAAAGAAAAAUGACAGUGUUACCCCCUAUGUUUUAUUUGAUAAAUAUCGACAGUGUUACCCCUUUUAUUUUUUUCAUGACGAACAAUAAAAAACACCCGUGUUAACCCUCAUGUUUUUUUUCAUGACGACCAAUAAAAAACAACAGUGUGUGUGUGUGUGUGUGUGCGUGCGGGCGUGCGUGUGUCUCUCUCUCUCUGUGCGUCUCUCUCCCUCUGUCUCCCUCUCCCUCUCUCUCUCUCUCUCUCUCUCUCUCUCUCUCUCUCUCUCCCCCCUCCUCUCUCUCUCUCUCGCUCCCCCUCUCUCUCCCUCUCUCUCUCUCUCUCUCUCUCUCACUCUAUU